UACGUAGGGUGCAAGCGUUAAUCGGAAUUACUGGGCGUAAAGCGUGCGCAGGCGGUUAUGCAAGACAGAUGUGAAAUCCCCGGGCUUAACCUGGGAACUGCAUUUGUGACUGCAUAGCUGGAGUACGGUAGAGGGGGAUGGAAUUCCGCGUGUAGCAGUGAAAUGCGUAGAUAUGCGGAGGAACACCGAUGGCGAAGGCAGUCCCCUGGACCUGUACUGACGCUCAUGUACGAAAGCGUGGGGAGCAAACAGG
rnacentral:rRNA from 1 species